rnacentral:lncRNA from 1 species
GCAUAAUUUCUGGAAAUGAUAGAGUCCCACCGAGACUUGGCAAACAGGCCGUCCAUUUUCCCCUUGUUGCACAGUGUCACAAUGCCUCUUCUACAGAUGUGGCCCCCUGAGCUGUGAACUCCUUGAAGACAAGGACUAGAACAGUGCCUGGCACAGUCCAUGUUGUAUACAGGAGGAAGAGGAUGUGGCUGAGUGUGGCACUGGGGCACGUGAAUGCCCACAUGCAGAGGGGAUGCUUGACAAUUAAACCACCCAUAAAGCAAGGCAUUAUAAAUGGCUGUGAGUGUGGCCAGCAUUGACUUUGGGCAACAGAGCUCUGGAUUUGCUAAGCCUCACGGGUCCUCUAAGGCUGUGCUC